CUUUGAUUUCGCUUUUCUGAGAGUGGGUGGGUGUGCUGUUGUUCUCUAGUCAUUUGGGGCAGGUAACAGGUGGGAAGGCCGUAUCCUUGAUUAGGUGGUGUAUUUCUCCACCCCCGCCCUCACCUUGUCUGCCCCGUUGCCGUUCCUACGACUACGAAUACGUUGUCUUUCUUGCUUUGGGCUCAGGUUAAGACAAGUCUGCAUCUGUCCAGUACAUUUGAUGCUAGCAUCAAAUAGAACAUUUGGUCUGUGGGAAUUGUAUGCAUAUUAGAGUGAGAAUGCGAUUUAAACAAGUAUUAUAAAAACAAGAGACUCCGCAUAAUUCUAGCUACACGUAAGGUACUGCUCUGUAUCAGGUUUCGACAAACAUUUGUUCUUCAGAGCAUUAAGGCCCUUAUGUUCAAGUAACAUUUUAGAAUAAACUGUAUUUAUACAGUUUUGGUUACAUGAGUAUCAACGUUGUAUAUAGGCUUUUAGCAGCAGAACAUAGCUGCAAAUGUGUCGAUUGGAG
rnacentral:misc_RNA from 1 species